ensembl:lncRNA
AAGGCCCGCCGGCGGUGGGUGCGGCGCUGAGGAGGGGAGCGGGGAAGUUUCGGUGCCGUGUUCGCGGGGGGAUGUUUACAGGAAAGGGAAGGGCGGCGUAGGAUGGACAGAACUAGGGAAUCUGUUGCCGUGUGUGACAUCUCUUGCGAGCUCCCAGAGAGAACUGAUGGAGCAUACAGCUAGGGAAUAGGAUGCUGGAGAAGCUCAGGGGGAGACGCCAGGCAAUCACCAGGACGGGGAGGAACGGCGCUCGUUGGAUAUGGGACGAGAUCUCGCAGCCCUUGUGGAUUCUCCUUCCUCUAGAGGGGAAUUAUAGUUAUGGAUUUAUUGUCCCGGUGCAGCACUUCCACCAGCGGCAGCAGCAACAGCAGCAGCUUUCUGACUCUCUUCGGUGACGGGUAUUCUUGGGUGGAUAAUACGGAUUACGUUGUUAUUGCUUAAGAAUACGCGUAGUCGAGGAGAGUACCGGCGGCGGGCAGGCAGGCAGGCAGCGCGACCGCCCCCAGCCCUCCAGCUGGCUCCUACAGCCUCUAGUUGCCAAGGUAGCACCUUUUCUAUCUUUUCCUUCGCUUCGCAGUGUGUCGCUCUGUCUGUGUCUCUACCGGGCGGGGGUGGCUCGGCCGGCCCGUCCCCGCGGAGGGGCUGCCCUCUGGGUGCGCGUGUGCGUGGAGCGGGCACGGGGUUAGGGCAAGGUGCGGAGCCGGGGCUACGGGAGGAGUCUGCGGGGCUGAGGCCGGUUCUCCCCGCCCCGGGCUCGCUCGGCCCCCAGCCCACGGCCCUUUGCCCCUCUCCGCCGGGGUGAGCGGGGACGGAAUGGGGGACUCGAGCCCGCCGGCCCCGCCUGCAGCGGGCUCUGAUCCCUGGGAUGCGGGGUGCCGAGGGGCAGCGGCUCCGCCCGCAGCCGACGGUGUCCGGGACCGGGAUGCUACCCCCUCCCCUGCCGGGCUCCGAGGGGCAGCCUCGUGCCCGCACCGGCCGGACAGGCUGGGAGCCGGCAAGCAGCAGGCUGGUGAGGCAGGGGCACUCCGCACCCUACCCCUGUGCCUCGGCUGCGGAGGGCACCAGCUGGGGCAGCCAGUUGCGGCUGAUCACUUUCAGGGGGUAAGAGCACCCUUGCUCCAUGGUAUCGGCCUUGUGAGGGCAGAAUUUGGCUGCUCACUCAUGAGCCCCUGAGGCCCUGGUCUAGAACACAUGGCCACAACCACGGCUGAGGGGUUGGUUCCCCACUGGGGUUCAGACCAUGGCUUCUUGGUCCCCACUGAAGGACUCAGGUCUCCCCAGAGGUACUUGCAGGUGAGAGACACGACCAAGAGGCUGCUCAUUCCCAUUACUGUGCCAGCCAUGCCUCAUUUGCUUAAUGCAGGAUGGAUAUUUCCAUCCUCUUGCCAACCUGAGCAGCAGGACAUGGGCUCUGGUUAAAAGCCCAGCCAGCCUUUUGGAUUCUGUGCUUAAGUAAACCCAAGCAUAGCAUUUUUCCCCAUUCCUGUACCUUCAAGUCUGCUAAAUACAGAGUAGGAGUGAUAGCUCAUGCCUUUCAGGCAGAGGCUUCUCUGCACACCUUGUGAUCCCAGGUCUCAUUGCCACACAUAAUGGCAAGUGGGAAACCAGAUUCCAGGCUUAAAUGAAUUAGAUCAGAAGCCAUUUUAAGGCAGGACCGAGGUCACUCUGAUGAGCUAGCCUUUUUGAAUGGCUUCUUCUCUAGGCUUAGUGUGGAAGAAGGUGAGAAUGAUUUUUAAUGUGGGCAAACUAGACGUGGGGGGUUGCUCUGCUGUGAGUGUAAGGCGGCAUCAUGGAGAAUGUCUUCCUCUGUCUCUUGCUUAGCAAUUGAAAGGCCAUCUAUGUUCUGCUUAAUUAUUUCAAGCAACUGCCAAAGGAUUCUUACUCUGCUGCCUUCAGUAGCGACUGGAGCUCUCAUUGUUACGCAGACGUGGAUCUGUUAUUCUUUAGACACAUCUUUGAUGCUAGCACUCUGAUCCUUGUGUUUCUCUAAUACUACUUGAAAGCAGAUUUUUUUUUCUUGUAGUUUAGUAUGUUCAACAGCCUCAGAAAUAAUGUUAAAUUAUGCUCUAAAGACACGAUUAGCUGCUAAAUCAUAGUUCAGCGCUGUAACGCAUCCACAUUCACAAGUGCUGCAGGAGCAGCGAUGGAAACACUAUUUUAAACAUCCAGGUUUGUAUUACAAACCUUCCUCUGAUCUGAGCUUUCGGUUGACAUUUUCCCUUGAGUCAUGACUUGAGUAUUAUCAGGAGUUCCCAUUUCAUCAAUUAAAGGCUGUGGUUUUGUUAGCUCUCUGCUCGGUUGAGUAUCUUUUGCGAUACAGAUUGGACUAUUCCCCAUAAACACAAGCUUAGUGAGAUGUUUCUUUAUACAUAGUUUUCCUGUCAUUGCUUUCCAUUUAGCACGAUUAGCUGUUUUUGCUGAAUAAUGCCUUAAUGACAGAGCCGAUGCAUUUUUAAUGCAUGCAGUCUUUGUCAUAGUCAAAAUUAACAUUUUGAUUAUUGUAGUUUUCUUUUCUGUAAAAUCUUUCAGUGGAUUGUCAUGUUGUGGGUUUAGAGGAGGGUAGCUGUAAGGUCUGAUUGGAGAAAUACUGGAUAUGCUCAUGAUAAUAAUUAUAAAAUAUUGUUUAAACGCUCAACAGCACACGGGCUCUUAGAGUGAUUUUUCCCAGCGUCUCCAUCUCAGAAUUGUUCUCCACAGGUUUGUUAGCAAUCCUGGGUUCACCAUGUAGGGCUACCAAGGGGCAGGAGCACAGGGUUCUGAAUGCCAUGCCCCUGAGAGGAGGCUGCCUGUUCUGUGGGCCUGAGCCCAUGGAUGCUUGGAGCUUCUGGCAGCUGCUCGGCCUGGGAACAGGUUGCUCACGUUAAAUCCAAAAUAUCUGGGACCAGAUCCUACCAUUCAAUGCCACAGCAAAGCCCCAGUCGAUUUCACUGUGGGAAAGAUUAGACUCCUGGUGAAACGGAUGUUUACAACCCUACACUCCUUAUGUCUUUUAUUUUAGAAAUCCAGAAUCCCGUGUGCUAAAAAAUGAGUCUAAAGGCCUCCUGCCUCUAAUAGUCUAAUGAUAUUUUAUUAACAGCAAAAUAUAUACUGGAAGUCUGUAGAGCAGCAUAAUAAGAAAUAGCUCUAUUAAUAAGGGUGUUUAAUUGUACCAGUACGUGAGUUUUCCAAGAUGACAUUUUAGAAUGAGGUUUGUGGCUGUACUGUGUGCUAACAGCUAUUUUGGUGAGUGCAUAUUUAAUUAAUUUAGAAUACUAAAUACCUGUUCUAAAAUUGUUUUUGUAAUCUGCAUCCUGGUAGAAAAUUAAAUAAAGUGCCAGCCCCAAAAUCAUUACUUGAACUUAGCCUAUCUGUAAAGGCCGCGGUCCUCUGAAGCUGUACAUCUCUGGGUCUCUGUGUGCUGUAGCAGCCCUGCAGUGUGCUCAUGUUGGUAAGUCUCAGCUAUGCCUGGCCCCGCAGCAGCAGCAAUGCAGGGAGUGGGGCAGCAGCCCUGCAGCCCCUGCGCUGUGCUGUUUGUGGCUUUGCCUGCUCUGGGGUGGUCCCCACGGCCGCUGCCCCCAGCAGAGAUGGGCAAAGGGCCUUGGGUACAGGUCCCUGUGCAGGUGAGAGGUGAUCUUACUGGGUCUGUGUGUAGCAGGAAGCGCUGCUCCUUGUAGACAGAUCCCAAAUUGCAUGGUGAGGGCUUCCAUUUGAUUUCAGGUGCUCUUCCCACAAAUAUUUAAGCCUUACAGCCCUUAUCUAUCUCUCUUUCUGAGAGGAACAUACAUACACAUGCACGCAACUCUGAAGGUAGGCAGCACGUAGCACCCAGAGUCCCCCUCUUACAGACUCUGAGAGGCAAACCACACCCACCUCAGCAGGGGCUGCGAAGGUUCCAUGUGCCUUUAUGGCUGGUGCAAGGAUUCCUCCUGCUGCCUGCAAAGUGCCCUAAAAGAAUUGUAUUCACUACUGCAUGCAGACGCAUGUGGUUCUGCAGGUGCCUUUGACUGGGAUAAGGUCUGCUCUUAUCACUUUCAAGACUAUGCCUGACUUCGAAGGGUGUGUAAGAUUUCCUUCCAUUGAAGGUCUUCCCUCUUGUGUCAGGUUAGAUGGUUCCUAGUGAUAGUGGAGUUUUCUUGGAGAAACAGAUAAAAAAUAAUUCCUGUAUAUACACACAGAUAAACACAUAUUUUGCAGCUAUAUGAAGAAGCUCUCUGUUCUUUCUCACUCUCUCUACUCUUUAUUUUUUUUAAUAUCACACUAGAAGUAAUCUGUACAACUGGAGUUCUAUGCAUUUUUUAAUAAAUAGUGUCUUCACAUACACAGAAGGCUUUUUCCUUUCUUCCUUAAAAAACAAACUCUUUUUUUGGGGGGGCGGAGGGAGAAGCUUUUAUGGCACCUCACCAUUUUUUGGUGUAAAGGUAACAUAUAUCAUAUAAAAUAUUUAAACAUAAUUUUUACCAGAUUAGCUUCUGUCUCCCCAAACCUUUAACUAUGGAAUCAUUUCUGGGACAUCCCUUGAUGCUUGUGCACUUUUUACGGCUAUUAUUUCAUAACCAAAUUGCACAAAAAAAUCAAAGGACCUGAUUAUCAUGUACCUACAGUUCACAGAGCUAUUUAUAAAUGUUGGCACAAUAAUAACAAUGACUCAAAAGGAAUUUAAAUGACAGGCCAAAAAUAAGACCUCUGAAAGUUAAAACCCAAGGUAGAGCUCAAGAGGUGAUGGAAAGAGCCUGACAUGGAAGGGCAGAGAUGUUCCAAGGGAAGGCAAGGGCCUGGAGGUGAUGUCUGGGAGUGGCUGCAGAGCCUGUGGGUAGCCCAUGGGUGAUACACUGCAAUGGGUGUGGGGUGGUGUUGUGGUGUAGGGGGGGUAGAUGUGCUCUAGCCGUGGGAACCAUGGCCACAGAAUCAUACAAGUGUUGUAGUAUGGAAAAAACAUAUCUACUUAAAAACAGCCAGAGGAAAAUUAGGUUAAAUGUCCCAGAACCUAGAGGGGUUGACUGGUGGUGGGAAAAAUAAGAGCCCUGACCAUACAGCUGAAAGGAGCAAUGUGUCUGUGUGUUUCUGAAUACAAGCACAUACAUAUAUACAAAUACCUAGCUAAAGUUACAUAAUCAUGCUUGUACAGAUAAAUGAAAUAAGCAUGCUGCUAUUCAAAUAUUUCUCCAGAAUCUCUUUGCAGAAGUCCUCAGGAAUUUUGCCGUUGAUUUCUAUGGGGUCGGACUGCUACUGGUCUGCAAGAAAGCCACCAGGCAUCUUGGUGUGUGCAAUCAAACUGAGGGGCCAUUCCGGGGGAUUGUGUAGCAUGGCUAAAGAAAAACAGCCCCUGUCAGGGAACCUGAAGCUGCUGUAGCAUUGAAGACAAUAGAAAGUAACCGCACAGCUAGCAGCCAGGAACCCCCUUGGCUGGGAGAUGGAAAAUGAUCUUGGUCAAGGCAUUGCAGGUGGAGAGCCAGGGCUGGAGACUUUCUGGCUUCUGCACUAUUUUUCUGUGGGGUUGCUGUGGGUCUGAUAAUUCUCCAGUACUUGCUACCAUUAGGAAGAAAGAGGUAGGCCCAAAAGGCAUACAUAAACUUCCCGGGUUACCCUCAUGGAGUAUUUCAGAGACUCUGGUCAGACUUAACCUUUUAUCUACUUUCUUAUUAAUUGUCACUACAGUACUGCUCUCUAUCAGUUCAUCUGAAUUUUAUAUAAUGUACACCCGUUUCACUUUAUUAUAAGUUAGGCAUGAAAUGUUGGAACAAUACAGAUGAAUUAUCUUUAAUAUUAAAAAUUGCCGAUUCAUAACCUUGUUUGGAAUAUUAGCAGUUCUUUUGCGAAGACAGGACAAUAUCACUAAGUUUAAUAAUGUUCACAGGGCCGACCUAUCUUUUACAUCACUCAAAAUCAAUGACAAAGUGAAUGCUGCGGGACUGAUCUUCUUUAAGUGGAAAUCGAGGGACAAUCAGAACUAGAACUAUCCAGCACUGAGUUGUGCAGCUUGUUACCAAAAAAUAAAUCUCACUGCAUCUUACAGAGGCAUUUACAUAGAUAAAGUAGAUUUCAUGUAAGUUCUUUACACUAUCUGAUAGUAAUAUAUUUGUAAGUAUUCACAUUCUCCUAACAAGUUGAUAGGAAAUUGAAAAAUGCACCAACAUUGUUAUUGCAUUCCAUAGGAUUUAUUUUAUUUUUUAAAUUUGGUGGGAAAUAGUAAGAGCAGGAAUGCUCAGUGCACUGAUGCAUCAGUCCAUCUGGGAACUACACUUUCAACAAUUACUCUGUAAGAGAGUAUUUAUCUUGUUAUUCCAAUGGUUAUUUUUCUAAAUGUCCUGAGCUGUAGAGAAGAGCAGCAGGAACUUUCUCAAACGUCAGUUUAGAAAGUGAUGAUUUUUCCAUUUUUCUGAAACAGUUGUGCCUUUCCUGCAUGUUUCCUAUGGAUCUGAGAUACACACAGGACAGUAAAAUGAUUGCUUUUGAGGUUCCAGUAUAAUCUUUUUCUUUUUGGCUGUGUAUGUCACACAGCCCUUUGUUGUGCUAUGACAUUAUGAUGCUGUUGUACAUGUGAUGACAAAAAUGCAUCUGUUUUCAGCCAUUCAUGGAGUCCCCAGUGAAACAGGUCCUGUGAGUCCUGCUCUCAGAAGCCACAGACAAAGCCACUUUCCCUUUCCUCUCCAUGUUCAGGUGCUUGUCUUUUGUGUGUAUGUAAAUAUAUUCUUUCUAGUGCAGGACGUAGGGCUGGUGCAGACCCUUCAUUAGAGCUGAAAAUUGCGAUGUUUAAUUUUCAUUUGUGGGAGCUGUGGUGAGUCAGUGCUGUUUGCUCAGCUCCAGCUCCCUGUUACAAAGGGAGGAAAACUCCAGCAAUGGGAAGGAGCCCGAAUGGUUUGAUGCAAAAUCUGAGUAAUUGAGAGACAAACAAAGCCCUGCAGAAAAUGCCUAGCAGGAUUUUUUACGUUUUGACUCUUAGCAAACACCAGUAUAUUUGGAGUAUUCCACAUUCACUGAAUGUAAAACUUAAAUAUGUGCCCUUUAGAGUGACUGGGAAUAGUAGCUCUGCUUUCUCUAUUAAAAUCUCUUUUCUGUGAUUAGCUCUGGAGCUAGCAGUAAGGUCAGUAUUUCAUUUCAUAGAAGUCAGCUCAUGCUGACAAGGGUUUGGCCUUCUUAGUGAUGGGCCGUUUGCUGCUCAGAAGUGUGAGGAACAGCUCUCCGAAUAUCGAUAACUUGCCUUUGCUAGAGCUCACCAUCAAAUUGAACUCACAGUAUUGAUGCACUGCAGCCACAGGAUGGGAGAAGGCUUGGGCCUGGUGCCAUCCCCCAAGCUUUGCUUUUCCAGCUCUGCCAUUAGUGUAAAUCAGUGGCUUAUAAUGAAGUCAAAUGAGAUUUGUGGCCAGGCUACAGCCUGAUCUUGGGAAAUGAAAAAGAAUAAAAAAAAUAGGUUGAAAAUGUUAAUAUUCUGCUUUAGCUUGGUUUCAGUUUGUUGUAUGUAAAUGUGCUUACAUGCACAUGCACACAUGUACAGAGCUGCAUUUUAUUCCUGUGGACAUUUCCCAUGGCCGCUUGGCUGCAGUGGUGCCUGGCAGUUAACGAGGACCUAAGAGUGCAAAAUCUCCAUCUUGGUGAGUUUUGACUGACAUGUACAGAGAUUUCAGAUAAAGGCUCUGGGAUCCUGCUUCUCAGCCAUAAAAGGAAAGCAGGCGAGCUUCAUCCCCAGCUCAACCGUCUGCACAAUGUACAUCAAUAACGAGACGGCAUCUAUUUAUAUAUUGCUUGCAGGAAAUAACUGGGUUUGCACACAACUUGGGGAGGCAUCGCAGCUCCACCAGCUUCCAUGGGGUUCUUGUUGGCACUCAGGUUGAUGGCUUGGGCAUGUGGGAGAGAAGACAUGGCUGGAGCUUGCCGUGCUGUGAGAAGGGGCACGGGGAGAGUGGCCAGGGCCCAGCAGUGCCUCUCAGCUGACUGCUGGCCCAGCCUCUCCCACAGAGGGGAAAGCCUGCCGUGUUGUAUGAGGAAAGGGAGAGUUUAAGAGAAAAAGGGAUAAGGUGCAGCCAGCUUAAUGCCUGAUAUUGCCUUUUGGCUGUGUUGUUGUGGAAAGUUUUUGACAAUCAUGCUUUCUCACCCAGAAAAAUGGAUCAGUGACAAAGUCCCAUCCCACACCAGGCUGCUAUGGCACAGGGCAGAAGUAUAGGGCUGAGUUGAGAUACUAACACGGGCCCUUGGGGCAGGGAUCCACUGUCCUCAAGCUUAGCAGUGGUAAAGGCAAAAACCCCCAGCGAAGCUCAACCUAAACAGAGAUUUUGCUGUGUCCUUUUUCACUCCUCUCCUUGCUGGCUCUUGUGUGCUUUGCCCAUAUGCUCUGAAGCUAUUUUGCUUUCAGUUUUAUGUCUGCUUUAUGUAAAUGAGAAGAAUGAAGUUCCUCUGCUUGCUGCAUUAUAAAUGGAGCGGAGGCUGGCAGGCUCCCUCCAGAGGCCUGCAGGUUGCACAGGUUGCAGGUACUUGGGCCAGGGGCUGCCUGUGGGCAUGACAGUGGUGUGGGGAGGGGGCAGCCCCAACCCCAUGGACCCCACACACACAGCUUGCAGGCCAGAGCAGCCCUGUGCUGCAGGAGCCCCUCAGCCCCUGUGGGACCAUUCUAAGAGACAUAGGUUCGCUCAGUGUAUUCACUUCACCCUGUACAAACUGACUGCUGUCAGGUGCUUGUUUCCAAUUCCCUCCUGCAGGACCAGGCUAAAUUCAGGCUGUCUCUCUGGGAGCACUGAUAUGUUUUGCUCCAUUUCUUCCUGUUGUAAGUCAAAACCGGUGUUGGUUUUAGUACGCUACUUUUUGGUUUACUGCCUUCUUUGUCUUUGCUUUCCCAGUCCCACACAGAUUUUCACACCACCAAAUUUUGUCCUGGAGUGCCUGUUCCCCAGAAGCUGUGUGCUGUACCACACACAGGGCUCUGGCUGUGGCCACAGCCUGAGAAAUGCCAGAGGCACAGCAAGUGGCUUGAGGGAGGCUUAGGGCUACAUGAGAAGGUGGAGAACACUCUGUGGGACAGAAAGAGAGCCUGACCACGGCCUGUUAGAGAAGGUUUGGGUCAGAGACAAAGUGGUGGUGGGCCCUGAGGUAUCACCUUCCCACCCGUGCUUAUCUGAGGCCCUCAUGGGGUGUGCGGCUCUCAGCUGAUUCCGGCAGAUCCAUGCCUUGUUAGAGCGGAUCCUAAUUAAGUUGGUGGUACUUAAGUAUGGAAAUGACUUCCAGAGUCCAAGCCUAGGACCUGCAGGGCAUAGAUGGCAUCAUCCCUGCUGGGACUCUGCCCUGCAUUUGUUUGAGCUCGGGCUCUCUUUCACUGAGUUCUUAGAAUAUGUGACAUAUUUUUUUCCAAAGGCAUUCAUUAAAACAGAUAUAAAUUACCUAAGGUUUGAGUACUCUGAUUCAAUGAUACACUAUGAGAAUUAGGUUUAUUUUGUCUGAUCAAAUGUUUGCUGAAAAGUGAUAAAAAAUAUCUCUGCCUUUCUAGAGCUGCUUAUUUGAUUUCAAAGGGAAGGUAUAACCUUUCAUUUCCUGCUGUGAUUUUCAUUAAACCUCUGCCUAUUUUAUUUGUCAGACCACAUAUAAAUUUGCUACCACUUGUAUUUCCAUAUAAAGUACAUAUAGGAUUGGUAAGCAGUCUAUAAGUCAAAUCACUGUUUCUUGAAAUUCAUUUUAAUCCAUAAAAUUGCUAAUUAAAGCUACUUCGCAAUACCCAAAAAUUAAGUUAACAGUAAUUAACGUAGCCAGCCUGGAACCUUAGGAAACUCCUGCCAGCAAGUCUCUUUUGGUGCACACAAGAGGAUGCAGUUUGAUUGUUGGCACCAGCAAACAGGUUGGGAAUUGUAAACACGGUAAUUAGCAGUAAGUUUCUGGAUCUCAACUUGCCAGACUGGCGGUCUGAUUCUUGGAGUAGCUGUCGCAUGGGAGGAGGGAAAAACAAAGUAGGGGAAUUAGAGCAACCUUGCAUUGCUCCACCAACAUAUGCCACUGGACCAGUGUUUUUCUUGGCAAAGAUUUCUGACAAGCAGUUUAAAAGCUGUGUUGCAGCCCAACUGCAAACUGUGAACCUCACUGCAGGCAUCAACCAAGCAACAGUCCCUGGCUCUUCUGCUGAAACUCCAAAUGUUUCUCCAUGGAAAGAGGCUGUCAAGUCUAAGGUUUCCCUGUUCCAUCUCUAUGGUGGGGUGCAGUGUUGAUAAGGUUAUCAACAAUAAUGGGAUUAAAAGUUAAAAUCCAGCUUUUGCACUAAUCCCAGAGUAUUCUAUUGUUGAGCUACCAAAGAUUAAGGUUAUAGUAACCUUAUUAACCCUUGGUGUAGUGUAAGUUAAAAGGAAAUGUCAGCCCUAAUUCCACCAUGAAAUUAAAUCUUUGCUUCCCUAAAUGAUGACUCAAACACCGCUUACUCCGGACAACGUGCUAUGAAAAUAAUGAACUCGCAUGAGUUUAAGAAAUUCCAUCUGAGAGACAGAGGGAGAAAGGGACAAUAAUACAUGGGGUUGGUUUUGUUUAAAAUUAAAAAAUAAUGUUAAUCCAACCAGCAUGCAUUUAGAAGCUAUGCAGCUAGAGCCAACAGAAUAUGUGAAGAACAAAGUAGGGAUCCAGCUGGUGCAAACCCUUGUGGUACAAUGAACACAGCUCUCUAAUCUGCAGCAGCUCACAUCUGGCUCUGGGCAGAGCACUUGGUUGUGCAUUGGACAGGAGCUGUGAUGGCCUCCUUGUCCCCUUCUCUUACAUGCUAGGUGCUGUGUGGCCACAGUUAUUUCUGCCCAGUGCUAUCGGCUGGGUACCCCAAUGCAAGAACUUGAACAUUUCUGCAGAAGUGCUUUGAGUACAAGGGAUGAGGUGAUGAAAACCAAAAUAUGUCAGAAAUAAAAUGAAUGCUGAUCCUUCUGGCAAAGUAGAGCCAGGUGUUGGUAUAACAGGCACAGGUUUUCUUGGCUAAGCUGAUUUACACUGCAUCAAGGAAGUGCCCUCUCACCUGUACUUAACAUGGCCCCUGCUCCCUCCUGCUGAGCCCAUAAGUAGAGCUGAGAGGCUGCUCUGUGGCUGGUCUUUCUUGUGUUAAGAGGAAGAUACUGACUGGCUGAUCAAGCUCUGCUUAGAUGUUGAUAGGAAGUGGUCUAGGUAAACGUGUGUUUCCUUGUGGGGGUGCAGAGAAGGGAAGUGUGCCCUAUUAUGUUUCUUUAUUUAUUUAUGACUGGGAGGGAAAAUACAAUAGUGAUAAAAUGGGGUGACUCAGAACUGCUCUUUUAUUUUUUUCAACCUUACCUUGUUGAAGUGUUAUAAAAAUUAAAUAACUCUAAUGCUCUCUUUGAGUCUCUAGCAGAAGGAUAAUUAAGAUUUAAGGUGCUGCCUAUAGUAGGUGAGCUCUCUGGAGGGCAGGAGCUAUUGUGAGAGAAGAGAUAGCUUUGGUAAAUUCAUGCCUGCUCUGUGGUAUUGUCACCCCAGGAUAGUGCCAGCCCUGCAGAGUGCUGAGGCUGAGGAGUGGGCAGCAUCUGCUUCUGCCAGUCCUCAGCAACCCCAGUGGUGCUGGGUUAUGGAGCUCAGGCUUGGCUUAUUCCCUUUCUUAUUGAAUCAUGUUCUUUGUGUGGGCUGUCAUGGCUCUGGUUCACAUUGGCUCAGGUGUGCCUGUGGGGUCCUGGCACCUCCUUCUCUGCUGUUGCCCCAGGUCUCACAUGCAAGUUGAGUGGCUAGGGCUCUUCUGGUUCUUCUGCAGCUCUACUGUGGUGUGGGAAUUGACAUUGUGCCUGUAGGGCUGUUCAGAAAUAUUACUGGUGCUGGCAUAAUGCUUCCUUCUAUGUAGCAUCCUUUUUUCUGGACAAUUUCCCAGUAAAAUAGUAAAUGGCAACUGCAGAGCAGUAAAAGCAGUGGCAUACUUGUUUGACUGAUGUUACAGAGCCUGCAGAGCAAAUGCAAUUAGGCUUCUCAGUGUGCAGCAGCUUCCUUUCCUCAUGUCCCCACUGCGGAGGAGCUGCCCUACGUUCAGCUUGGCCUUAAGCUGCAGAUCACCUCAGUGUCUUCUCAGGUCUUGGAGCUGCCCUUCUUCAUGGGAUAAGGUCCUUGCCAGUGCCUGUACACCUGUGACACCCAACUGUCACCAGGACACAAAGUAGUUUCAGCAUGGACAGCUGAUGCACUGUGAACCCUUUUAUGGAUGCUUUGCUUCAGAAAGAGGUGGGAAAAAUAGGUGUAAUAGCUCAGAUUCCUCAGGAGGAGGUAAUUGAGAGCAAAUGGCUACUAAAUGCUGAGGGCUGCAGUUAGAUGCAGAGGAGUACUGAAGGUCACUCACCUGUUGAGGCUGACUGCUGGGGAACAGGAAGGGACUCAUGCUCUUGCCCUCCUUUAGUUAUAAUUGGGUUUGCAGAGCUAUUCUAUAUCUUGUAGACUUGCUGCGUGGAUCUAGGACUGCUGGAUGAUGCUGUGAUUGCUGGAAAUGGUAUAGUCUGGGAAGACUGGAAAAGUUUCUUCCAGCCUAGAUUGUUCCAUGAGCCUCAGACAGAGGUAGUAAUUAUGCAGUACCCCUGAGCUGUGUGGAAGCAAUGAGGUGUGGCUCUAGCUGGAAGCAAAUGGUCCCACAGCCAUCUCAGGCCUGGUCUGUGUUCUGGGUCAUUCUGUGCCCAAGCAGCUGUUGUGCUGCAGGCCCCAUUCCCUAGUGCUGUGGGUGGGGAGCAGCAGAGCCAGGAGCAGGCACUGCAGUGACAGCAUUCCUGCAGCCAGCACAAGCGUGGGACUGCCACACUCUGGUCUGUAGUGCGUGGGGAGUGCUGGUCUGGAUGGCAAAACUGACCUUAGUAUUGACACAGGUAGUGCCAGUGUUAGGAUGUGGCUAUGCCUGGUUAACCUGGAAUAUGGUGAGCGUAGCCUGACCUCCUUUAUACCUACAUCCUUUGAUAUUUCUGCAUUUCUCUACAUAGAAAACCAAAUCACAUACUGAUUUUUUUUUUUUUACCUAUUGUUUCCUAAGGGCAGCUUUGGGGAAAAGUAUAAGAAAGCAGUUUCCCUCUUUUGACAAUAACAAGCCAAAAGGCUGUCCAUGCGGCAGCCUGUCCCCACAUAAUGAGGCAGAGCCCUGUGCUGUGGGCAGACAUCCCACGUGCAUUGUUGGGAGCUCUGCCUGACUGUCCCCAUGGCGGUGGGCUGCUCCUGCGUAGGGCACGUGAGUACCAGUUCUUGUUUUUAAUGUGCCAGAUCAUAGCUUGCUCAUCGCUCCAGUUCCUGGGCUGAAAAACACUGUCAAAAUGCAAAUGUAGGAGCUGACUAAGAACCAGUGAGUACGUGAUCUGGAUGCUCCAAACUUGAGCACUGUGAUUGAUAAAGAGUAUUAAAAUGUGACUUUUUUCAAGCUGAGGUACUCCAUCAGUGUUAUGCAAUUCAAACAAGUUUGUGUUAAGAAUAGCCACUGUGCUUUGUGGAAAGUGUGUGCCCAUGCGUAAAGCUGUGCUGUGCACACAGCCUGGUGGCCCAGCUGUGUGGGGAAGUGAAGGCCAAGCUUUCUGACAGUAUGUGUCUGAUGGGCUAGCGCAGCAGCCAGGGGCAGAUACUCCUCUAGCCAUGAUGUUUGGGGGUCAAACUGUGAUUUCAGAAUCCCAGUGUUUCCCUAUAUUUUCUUUUAAUUGUACAAGCAGAGAGGAGAAAAAAGCCAACAGUUUCCAGUGGUAAAUGCUUAUAUUCAUAACUUAGUGUUCUUCCAGAAAUUUAAUAUCGCCUUUAAAGUCUGAGAGUGCGAAGUCACUGGGAAACAUGAAAAGACAGGCUCUUGGUUAGAGAACUUGCAAGUUGAUCUCCUCUCUCACAGACCUGUCAAUGUUUCUAUUGAUGGAUUCUGUAAUAGUGCUGGAAAAUCUACCCCAAAGCUCUGGAAAUCUGAUUGUUAUUUCUAGAGGGCAGAUCCAUAGAAAGAUGGUGAUCUUUAGCAGUCUAUAUUCACUAAACCAAAGUUGUUUGUCAUACAAAAUAAAUCCCUGCAGUUCGGUCCCUUCUCAUACUCCCUCAGUGAGAAGCUGGAGGUACCAGAUUGGCAAGUGGGUGGAGAAAGGUGGAGGGAGAUGGUCUGAUGAGCCAAGAAAUUAAUGUUUCCCUCUGUCCCAAUCCCCCAGUGUAACCCAAGCACCAUUCUGUACCUGCAGACAGGAUGCAAGCCUCCAACACCUGAGUAUUCCUACUGAAUGACAUGGCACAAGAUCAGGAAAAAAAAAAAGCAGUUUACUACAGCAUGGUCUAGUUUUCAGGGUAAAACAGAUUGCUGUACAUUGGGUGUGAAAUUCCCUAAUGUUUAAGUAAUGAUUCUGGGAACUGUAUGACUGACAGCCUGAGCAAAGCACUGUCUGAGGUUAUGUAAGUCCCUAAAAAGAAAUCUAACCAACCCCAAAUCCUAAUUGUGUAGCAGAUCUGAGUACUGCAAAGUCUAAGCGUUGCCAGAUUUGAAAGCCAUGCUGCUGCCUUAUGUAAAUAGUCGUGAAUAUUCCCAGAAGCAGCAUACCAAUGAGCUCUUUUGCUCUCUGAGUGCAUCGGCAUGAUGCAGUGGAGCUGCCCCUGUGGGCUGGUGAUAGCCUGACCCUCUGGGCAUAGCCAGGACUGUGGCUCUCAGGGACAUCCCAGGCAGGGAAAUGGAGCUGCUUCAGCUCAGGUGCUCACGAAGAGGGAAAAGAGACACCUUCUCUGUGUGCUUCCUUGUGCAGGAGCAACUACAGCAUGUUUAUGGAUUCCAUUCGGAGGCUGCAGCCCUUGCUAUGAAUUUCAAAAUGUUUUAGAGUUAUUAGCGUUGCGCUGCUUCUGACACAAAGGAUGUGAGGGACAAAGAGCAGCAGCUCCUGUGCUUAAAGGAAGCACAUAAAACCCUGCCAGCACCUUCAUCAUUCUGUGUGUCUGAAUGCUGUUAGCUGGGCGCCAUUGUACCUGUGAGCGCACUGCUGGCGUUAAUCUGAGAAGUACAGUACUGCCUGGGGCAAAGGCGUGAUGGUGGGGGAUGGUUCGAGCGAAGCUUGGGCUCCUGUGGGAGCUCCUGUUGGCUCUUACUGCCUUGUCCCAGGUGUGACUUAAGAUAGAAAAUUGAACCGGUGGCAUUAAGAGUUCUUAGGAAGAUGUUCUCUAGUAAAUAUUCUAUAUGCCUAUAUAUUUGAUGUUUGAACAGGUAUGUAAAGAGAAGGGACGGAGUACAGUCUGUGUGAUAGAAUUUACCAAAUAAUUCUUAGAAUUAAUUUUGCAAAAUUACCCAAGAAAACAUUUCCCAUGUCUCACAAUCUUCUCAAACUGGCUGAAAUACACAGGCGUGGUACCUUGGAAUUUUGAUCUGAAGUAAAUUAAAAAUUGCCUUUUUCUGGGGGGCGUAGGGGAGGAGCAGGGAUUUCAAUCAAGGACCUGUGACAUUUUGCAAACAUUACUUGCCAUAUCGCUGUUUUUGUGACCUGUCCUGGGCUGGGUGAGGAGCUGGGUACUAACUCCCGGCACUGCCCACCUUGCUUCUAGAGGGGGGAAGUAGAAGAGAAGGAUAGGAUGAGUGAGCAGGAGAAAGCAGUAGGGAAGGAAGUGACUAGAAAUGGUGGAGGGAUAGAAGAGAUAGGAGAAAGCAGAAAAGAAAGAAACAGAGAUAAGGAAAUGAAAAUGAGAGAGGAGGAAAAAGAAAAAUUAAAUAAUGAAUAAACAGGAUGGAGCUCAAUAGUUCUCAGUUCUCCCACUCCUCAGGUGGGAGCACAGUGUGAUUUGGAACCCUCGGUGCUAUUGCAGAAGCUUUUCUCCUUUUAGCUCAGGGUGUGCGAGGAAGAGACGCCAGGUCCUGGUUGAAUCUCCGUGUAUCUAUCACAAAGCCGUCACAAAAGAUGAAGUUAUGUCCUGUCUGGCCACAUACUGAGCUGUAGGUCUUUUUUUUGUUUUUUGUUUUUUUCCCCUCCAUUUAAAAGAAGAGCUAUCUGAUGUGUUCUGUUAAUGUCAGAAAGAAAGAAGUUACUAUGAUUUAGAGAAACUAAGGGUUUAAAAUUAAAUAUGCACUCAGUGCUUUCAUCCAGAGAUUUGGUGAUAACCAGGUUACUGAAAUCAGUGCACUUUUAUCAAAGCCAAAAGGUUUUUGUUUUUUUUUUGUGGCGUUUAUAGAAUAUAUCAGCUCUUAUUGUACCCUCUUACAAUUACAGCUGGGAAUGAUGAAAACAAGUUCCCAUGCAAUUACUUGCUCCUGCUUUAUAAAAAGCGAAAGCCUAAAUCAACAUCAGUACAGGGUAAACUGAUAGCAUUCUUGUGACAGCAGUCCAAGGAGUUCCACCCUACUACUGUAAAUGAAAGCAAACCUCAGCCAUGAAUAGGUGUCCAUACAAAGAUUUAAGAUGAGAUGUAAAAAUGUUUCAUUUUACAUUUGCACUCAGCAUUUCAGCCUGUUGGGAGUGAGCUCUGGACCUGGGCUGGAUGACAGUUAAGAGCACAUCUUCCAUGUGCCUUGGGCUUGUCUUUUGGAGAUGCCAAAAUGCUGUCCUUGGAUCAUCUGACACAUCAGCCGCUCUCACAGAGGAGAGCUCUGAUAAAUGCUCUGAUCCCAUUUCCGCAUCACUUUCUAACUCAUCAAAGCAAUUUAAAAAUCAAUAUGUUAUAUUUAACAGGGAGGCCAUGCAUUUCUCUCUGGGCAGGAAUAACACAUCAAGUCUGCUAAGGGAGAGUUAAUAUUCCAGGUGCAGCCUUUAGUACAGACCACAGAAUAUAAAGAAUAUUCCAUGAAAGCCAUAGAGGCAGAUGAUGCAGUGAUGACUUCUGCGAUGUUAACAAUACAGCUGUGCUUAUGAGCUGCUGUGUGAGCUGGAGCACAGUGUCUGGACCUGAGCAGUACUGUGUGGAUAAUAGGAGAUCUACAGGCAUCAGAAGUGCUGUGCUGAGCCCAACCAGCUCCUGCCAUUCUAACACAUAGUGAGACCAGGGCACAGCCUGGCGUAGCAAUAACAGCCUAAUGCAGCUAAUGUUUGUGAAGGUUGCCAGGCACCAGUGAUCUGUAUGGUCUAGGGCUGCUGCUCCAUACAGGGCUGCAGGAACAUGCCUCUGAAUUAACUUGAACCACUCCUGAAUAGCCUUCAUCAGUUAGGGUGGCACCACUGCAUUUUCUUCCUACUGAGCUUCAGGAAGACAAAGAGCAUCUUUAGCUGCAAUAGGUUAACACAAAUUGCUUUAAAGUCUAGUGUGGUAGGAAGCUUAGGGAGCCUGGGUGAGAGGUGAAGGAUUUGGGCAGAAGGAGGUGGAAAUGAAGAGGAGCAGAAGCCCCAUAAGCUGCAGACAGAAGAGGAACGAUUCCUCUAUUUUUAUCUGUUGGCUGAAGCACCACAUUUGCAAAUAGAAGGCACAAAUGUUCACAAUGCACCUAGAAGAUCAUUCUUCUAGAUUUCAUUACUUGUUUGUAGAACCAUGCCAUCAGCUACAGGCGUGGUGGGUUCAUGUCUCCAGGUGAAUGGAGAACCAACAUCAUUAUUCAGGUUCCUCCUUACUGCAUGGUCUGCUGGAGGGUUGCCUAUGACCUCCAACUUCCAAAGAUUUUAGUCUGUCCAAAAUACCUAGGAUUCCAGCACCUCACACCUCCUCAUGUGCAUUUCUUUUUCCUCAGAGUAUCAAGUACAAGGGCUGCUGUGAAAGUACUGCCUCCAAUUCUGUGAUGUCAACCCACAACAUCAGAAGCAGAUGUUGGUGUUAUGGCAGUAGAGGUUGAACCUUCCCACCAAUAUUCCAUACAUUUUGUUGUGUGACAGAUGGCAGCAGAGGGGCAGUCUGACAGAUUGGUGUCUGACACAGAAGUGUGUAUGGAGCAAAGGUGUGUCAUUGAAUUCCUCCAUGCAGAAAAUAUGGCAUCCGUUGACGUUUAUCGACACUUGCUAAAUGGUUAUGGAGACCAAACAGUGGAUGUGAGCACAGAGUGGUGGUGUGGGUGGUGCAUUUUAGCAGUGGCAACAGUGACAGUGGUUUACCUCCACUGUUGCAGAUUUUUAUGAGCAUGGCAUGCAGGCUCUUGUUUAUCACUGGCAAAAAUGUACAGCUAAUGGUGGUGACUGUUGAGAAAUGGUGUUUUGUAGUUGAGAAUUUGCUCUAUCAAAUAGUGUUAGUGUGCUUUUUGGAGCUGUAGUGCUUUCCAUGAAAAUAGGAGGCAUCGCUUUUGGUGUGACCUACAUAGUUUGGCUGUAUAUAUAGCUUGGUAGCUUGGAUUACUUUUAUAUAUUUAUAAUGAAAAUAACAGCUGCUUAAAAGUUGAUUAUCGUUCAUGGGAAGACAAUAGGUGUUUUUAAUUUUCAUAAACAUAACUACAAAUAAGUAACGUGAAGUAUUUUAUUGAAAGGCACUUUAUAAAAAAACUUAAUCUACUAUUUGCAGAAAUUGAAUACAUUUAGAUUCAAAUUGAUGUCACAGAAAAACAUGGCGGGCCUCAGCUCUUGUAUCUUGGUAAUUGCAUUGAUGCUACUGAGACAAAAUUAGAUUCUUCCCUAACAUGUAAAACACUGAAAGAUUCUAAAGUAGGGAUUUGGAGAGCUUUAAAGUUCUGAUUUCAGUUGGUAAACUAUCUGCAGAUGUUGUGAUCUGUUUGCACAUACACACUCACAAAUACAUACAAUGUGUUCUAUAUUUUACUGAAAAUUUAGGACUACUGUCUUGUGUGCCAUACACAUAUAUUUGAUGUAUAGCUGAGCAUGCAUGUACAGUACAUUUAUGUAAGUAUAUGUGUGUGUAUGUACAUACAUUGCCUUGUACUAUGCAAACCAAAGGCUGUGUUGGGCUAUGCAAUGUGUGGUGUUGCAGUGAAUGUGGAGUUUGGUGCCUGUCCCAGCCUCCCUGGCUGUCCCACUCAGGGUGUGGCUCUGGCAGCCACUGGAAAUUUAGAGCUGCCGCAGGAGCUUCCUCUUUCCUUGUUGUGGCCAUGGGCUGCUUUGUGUGCUCCAGAGUAGUGCUGUGUCAGGCGUGAGUGCCGUGGGCUUGUGAGGCUGAUGGGCUGAGCCCUGGGGGAUAAAGGAGAGCUGCCCUCAGCAGUGGGUUUGUGCCUUUCAUUAGUGUGGGGCUGAGCGGGGAACUGCUUCCCUCUGGGCAAAGGCAGCCACUGAGGCACGAUGUGCUCAUGGGACUGAUGGGGCAGCCUUUUCCAUUAACCUACUCCUCUUGGAUGGGCUCAAGAGCUGAACAGAUCUGUUGAGUAAAUGCCAUGCCUUCAAAAGACAGCACUGAAACCACCAGGAUGAUGUCUUGGAAAAGCAAAAUAUUUUUGUUUGCUGGCAAGUGUUUAAUUCAUGUGCAGCCAUGCUUACCCCUUUGGAUGUCAAAGAAGAGGCUUUGCUAGUGCAGCGCUGCCCGCUUACCCUGAUGACAAAUGCCUCAGCGACAGAAGUCACCUUCUGCGCUCAGCCGAGCUCGACCAGAGCUGUCCCAAUGGCCGUGCUGCUGGGACUCUGGUGUCGGCUGCAGAUGCAGAGCCAUGGUGCUGUAUUUCAAGUGAUGAUAAAAGCUUGCUGGGUAAAUCGGUGAAGAGUGGCUUGCUGGGAGCACAUCAGCCGGUCUAUCGUUGUGCAAAGGCAGCAGAUGCAGUCAGCACUCGGAUGAAAUGGUUCAUGACCUGCUGAUGCCUCCCAAGGGAUGGAGACAGGGAACAAAGAGACUAUGGGACCUCCUUGAGUGGGAGCAAUACUGUGGGAAGCAGUAAGGAAGGAAGCAUGGACCAAGCAGGGGAGCCCAUUUUGUUCUAUGGCAGCCCCACAGCUGCCCUUAGGGCUAGGGGAAGAGCCCUUGACAGUGCCACAUUCUAGGAGGGAGCUAGCUUUUCAGGGAAAGGACGGAACAGGGUGGCAACCAGCAGGGACAUGGGCUACACACAGGGUUCUCACUGCACAGGCACAUUGAAGCUGGUUACUGGCAAAGCAAGUGCUGGUGGAGUGCUGCCAGGGUGUUGUAGUCCACGUGACACUGGCCCUGUGACCAGUGAGUGCUAUGUGAGGCACAGAUAGGUUGGAGCUCCAGAACAAGUAGGCAGAUGCUCCUCAGGGUGUGCCACAAGGAAAGAUACCAUGAGGCCAGGGGCAGAACCUGGCCUGGCCCUGGGCAAGCUCUCAGCUGGCUCAGGUUGGCCUGGUCAGUGUUUCCCAGUGCUACUCCCCUCUGGGCAUCUGUGGUGCUGUACUCAUUUGCCCCAGCCAUAUGCUGGCAUCAGGUGAAUCCAACUCAGCUGUGCUGCUGCAGAGGAGCAAAGAACUUCAGAAAGCAACUUGAAGAUGCAUAUGUAACAAACAAAGAUACUGGUAACAAACUCUGUGGUGAUGUUUUUCUGCCACUAGAACUUGGAGAUUUAAAAAAAAAAAAAACCCACAAAGAUGUGAGGUAAAGCAGCUUCUGUCCAAAGGGGUUAAAGUGUCUGCAUUAACACCUGCCCCUCCUUGAUUCCCCACCUGCUCUUUUUCUAGUUUUCCCCUCUGGCCCUGAAUAGAGCUGCAGGUGCUUGGAUGCUCCCUGAGCAGAGCAGAAAGUCUGGGCAGUGAGGGCAGCCCCCUGUCUGCAGGGCUGUGCACUGAGCCCUGGGCAGCUCACCAUAGCUCUAUGUAGUCAUGGUACUCUUGCUACCCUGUGACUUGCACUGCCUGUUUUAUUAUUUCCACUAACUCAUGUUCUUGGUGUCCUCAAGGGAUUUCACCCAGGUAAGCACUGAGCUAGUUCACCUCCUGUGAAUCCAUAAACGCAGACACUUUAGAUGUAGUUUUUCUGCUGCUGCGGUCUCUGUAUUAUUCACUUUUGCAAGGUCCUUUUUAAGGAAGCUAAUAAACCUGUCACGACAAGCCCAUCGAAUCUCAUCAGGAUGCUUCUUUCACUCCUGAGGUCCCUUUCAUAACCAGCCCCCAUGCUGGCACUAUUCGUUAGGAACACUCAGUCAGCUUUGUUCUUUAGCAUUGUUGUGUGGUGUAUGUCUUUUCUGUACUACCUGAAGCUCAUAAGACAACUUUUGGUUUGCCUCCCAAGGGGGGAGAAGGCAUCUGUAAUGUGUUUCAUGUCUCACAUCUCUGAAAAGGACUGGAGAACACAAGCAUAGUAACUUGUGGGUUUUCUGUCUUAGAGAAUUAGGAUGUCUUUGCAUUACUGAGCAGGAAAAUACUGAGCAGUGCUUGAUCAAUAAGAGGCAUUGCCAGAGGUCUGCUAUAGUCUGCACCAGCCAGCAGUAAGUGUUGCUAUAGGCUAUGGAACUAGGAAUAUAAAAUGUCGAGCAACAGUAAUAAUUCAUGCAUCCUGGGAUGUAUAAAACCAACAGAAUGUCAAUAGCUGUGGCAUGCUCUGCAGAAAAUAUGCAGGGUUUAGAUGUCGCAAGAGCCUGUGUUUUCCUUUAAAUCACACUUUCCUUGGUGAAAUAUAGUAUUUCCCUAUUUGUCAAAAGCAUUUAUUUUCAGCUUCAUGUCAGUAAUUUUCUAUUAAGACUCUAAGAGAUAUGCAGUUUUAAAGGGGCCUUGAGAUCCAGAGCUAAAUACAUGUAUUUAUUGAAGGAAAGCACAUAAAAGACUUCUAAAACAGGGUGCAAUAGUAUUUGAGAUUCAUGGACCAUUUCAGCAUUCAUAAAAGCGUAUAUGGUUCUCAUGUUGGCUUCACUAGGGACUGAACUGUGCAGCUGGGUUACCCAGGAGGUAUCGAUGUUCCCUUAAAGAGAAGCUCAUUGCAACCGUUUGUAAUUUACUUGGAAAGUGAAAUAUCUUGUGAAAUGAGUGAGAACUUCUCCAGUAUCCACCCUCCUAAAAUACUUCAAGAUAAUUAAUAUUGCUCCUCUCCUGUGAAAAGACCCCAAGGAGGGUGAAUUAUUGCCGCAGGGAGGCACAGCAGGCAUCAGAAUACUGUCUGCCUGACGCUGGCCUCCUCUGUGCUGCUGCUGCCUGGGAACGAAGAAGUGAUGAGUGCUGUUUUACCUGCUAAGGCUCUCACAAAAAUUCUUCAGAUGAAACUUUAAUGAGAAAAGGGAGCAAAAAAAUGUUCCAGCAGAACCAUUCUUCUGUGUGCUCUUGUGCACCUCAGCUGCGUGUUGCCAGGCCGCUUUCUCUGAAUCUGCCUGGUAUUAGGUAAGUGAAGCAGAGCAGUUGCUUGUUGCUCAUGCUGAUAUGAAUAUGGGCCUUAACAUACAGGUAAUACUUCUGAAAGAAUGUAAAAUAUUAACUUAAAAAAAAAAAAAGGAAAGAAGAGGAAAGGCAUCACAAAGAAACCUACCAUGCAUUAUUUAAGCCUUUCCCUGUGAGGCUGAGGGCUCUGACGCUCUUCUAGCGGCAGCGUUCCCUCUGCUGUGGGGCUGUGGGUCCUGGCUCCCACUUGGCUGCUCUGGGUCCUCUUUGGAAGGUGUUGAUUCAAACAAUAAUUAAACAUCUUAAAUAUCAUCUCUUUUUUGAAGAUUUUAAAGUGAUUUGAUGGCAGUGGUCUGCAUCUACACAAACAGGCACUAAUAGAUAUUUCAGCACACCUUGCUGAAGCAGAUGUUAAAUAUAAACAAAAAAAUUAAGCCUGCUUACUCCCUGAGAUGUAUGAAAGGGAUGUCUUUGCUGUGAGCAGAGUGACUUGGCUCAUUCUGCUCCUUCGGCUUGGUUUGGGGAGGAUGUGUUUUGCAGUCCUCCCAUGAUACCUGGCAAAUUUAAAGCUGUCACUGUUGAUCCUGCUUCUCUUUGUAUUAAAGGAAUGUCUGUGGUGUUUAUAUUACGGUGGAAAUGCUAUUUCUACUGAUUGUAUUUUCAUUGUCUCUCUUAUGACUGUACUGUUUGCCAGCAGCUGUGGGGCCACUUUGAUGCUUGCUCUGAUGCCAUGCUUAUUGUGCAGCAUGGUUGAGCCUACGGUUUUCCUUUCUAAUCAGAGCUGGCAUACUGGGUAAAAAAAUAAAGCUUUUCUUUAACUAUGGUUAUCUCACAGGGGUCUGCAAUUGUAAUAGUGAGUGGGUUCUGGAAACCUAUGUUUGUAUACACCUGUGUAUGUUCUGAUUUUGUUUUAAUCAUGGUAAUGUUUUGCCUGCCUCUGCUUCUCUCCUUGACCAUGCUUGAGCAGGGUCAUGAACCUGUUGGUGGCAGGGUUGCUCUCCUGGGAGAUGAAAGGGGUCUGUGUGUGCUACAGCCUGCACCUUGUUCAUUGCUCCUGCUCAGAGGGAUUGGUGUCCAGUCACAGAAAAUGAAAUAAUCUUGGCUUAUGAAUUCACUCAGGGAAGUAUGUAGCUGACAUAACUAGAGCUGGGUGCUGAUGGCAGGAAUGGAAGCGGCUUGGUCAGGUUCGAAUAUGUGACAUGGUGUUCAUGCUACCCUAUUGCUGUAGAGGUAUACAGGCACACCCUGGUGCUGGAGUGUGCUUCUAGUAGUACCCAGAGGCCUGCCAGCUCCCUGCCUCACUGCUGCUUGCACCACACCACACAUCCUUGCGGUGAUGGCAUGCCGGGUUUGAAUAAUACCUGUGUGGAUGCAGGUAUCCUUUUCAUUCUGUAUCUCACAGCCAUUUUCAGACUGAUGAGAAACUAUUCCCUUUCCACCCUGCAAGUUGGAAAGGAGGGACUUUGAGAAUCUGAGUGAUGUGUCCAAGAUGAUGCAGCAGAUCAAUGGAAGAAAAAGGGAUCGGGCCGCUCCGUGCAGUUUAGGGGUGCCUCUAACUGCCCCAAAGAUUUCUAGCAAAAGGCAUGCAGUCCCCAAGCAGGCAGCUUCCCUCUGUUAUUUGUCAGAGUAUUGCUGCUAACUGUGGAGAAAUGUAAAAUGUAUUAUUCAUUUCUUCUACUCGUAAAAUCAAUACCUAUCAAAAUAGAAAUGCAAUUUAAAUCAAAGGGUACUUGUUGAGUGCAGAUCCUACUAAUUAGAUAUGAUUUCCCAACAAUUUCUUAAAUUAUUUAUCCAAGGGAUAGGUAGCAGGCACUUUAUGUGCCCCAGAGUGAAUAUAAUAAACCUCUUGUCAUGAUACAGCAAAUGUGAAACGUAGUGCAAUGCAAUAUGAUUUGUAACCCCGAUGAACUAAUGCAAUAUCAACAGACAUCAAUCUGUGCAAAACAUCUGUCUCGUUAUAAUGUCUUAUGAGGUAUGCUGAAAGCCAAUAACCUUGCGAAAUGGACAUGUCUUUGUGAAGGAUACAGGUUGUGCCACUAGGAAUCAAUUAAGGCUGUAAUGCCCCCCCACAAUAGAAGUUACUAAGCCACCCUCACUACAAAAGAAGUUUAUAUAAUGCAUGGAUAUCCAUAGUGACAGCAGUUCCUUCUAGGCUGGUGGAUGGCUCUGCAAGAAAUUCUGCUGUCAUAUUUGGGCUUUUUUUCCUGAUGAUGGCAUUGUGUAUUGUAGUCCCAUAGUCCACAUCUAAACAGUAUUUCUCUCAUAUCUGGUUAAUUCUAGUUUUAAAAAAUAAUGCAAAGAAAAGAACAAACAGUUUUGAAGAUUGUUGUGUCCAAACUAGGAGGCUGCUCUCCCAUAAAAUGAAGGGUCUGCAUUUGUGUGUUAGUAAUACACACUGAUGCUCUACAAUUUUUGAUCAUAAGGAUUUUUUAUACAGCCUUUUGUGGUUUUAAUUUUCAAAUAUAAACUUACAUUCACUCUGUGGAUCUUAAAAUUCUAUCCCACAAGCCCCUUGGGAACUGAAGAUCAGUGGUUGCCUUAUUUAAAUGUAUGUACUCACCAAGUUGUUUUUUAUCAAUGACUGAAAGGAAUAGUCUGAAGAGUUAGGCUUAUCAGGAUUUAUAAUUCAGAGUUUAAACCUUCUCUGCAGCCCUUGUGCUGACCAAGCUUCUGGGAAAGGUGCUUGAGCAAAAAGCUGGAGCUGCCAAAAGUGCUGUGUGAUCCAGUAGCUGCUGCAGCCUGUAAUCUGAGUGUGCCUCGGCAGUACUUAGGGAGAAGGAAGGCAGGGCCUUAACUUCGGAUUUCUUGACAUUUAAAAGUACAAGUCAGAAUUGUAAUGGUAUUUAAACCCUCCUUAUUAGUAGUACAAUAAGUCUUUCAGCUAGUGCUCGGCACAUUCCUCUUAGGUGAUCUGUAAAAGGCAGUUCUGAUAGUGACAGAGCUGGAGUCUGAAUGCUGAGUACAGGACCUACUCAGAGCAGACUGAUGCAUUUGAGCUGAUGGGAGGAAUUAAGGCGGCUGAAUCGGUGCUGUAGUAAGGCCAUACUCCUGCCCUUUGUACCAGGGACUGGGAAGGGCAGGAGCACUAAGUGUGAAAAAGCGUUGCAUUAAAAUACUGGUCGUGUAGGAUAAGUUUGUCAUCAAUUAUUCAGCUCUGCUUUUUGUAUUACUAUUGUUUUUAAUUAAUAGAGGGUUGGAAAGCAUUUGUCUGGCAGGUGUGAAAUCAAGGCUCAGUCCCAGAGUGUUUGUUAUAAAUCCUAGCUACACCAAGUGAGGAGACAGUCCUACGGUAAUGUUUUGCAUUUUCUCAGCCCAUUCUUAUUUAAAUGAGAACAAGCUAUCUGGAAAGAACAUCAAACGCUGCAACUACACUUUAGUGGUACUUUCAUUUUCUUGUCCUAAUUUCUUUUCAGACAUGUUUAAAUAGUGUGUGAUUGUAUAUUAGUGACUGCAAAGGUUGCCUAAAUUAACACCACAGACUAAUUUUGUUUUAAAUGGAGGGAGGAGCACAUCUGUUUCAAAAAAGCUUUGUAAUAUGCCUUUUGUGAGUUCAAAUUGCAUACAGUAAUGACCACUUAAGUGAGCUGCUACACACACAACUACUUACUUGCAAUAGUAUUAACCAGCACAGCUAUAAAAUGGCACUAAUAUUUUUGUGCAUUGAAAUAUGUUCCUCCUUUCCCCUCCCCUUGAAAAUUCAGCCCUGUGUUAGUGUUCGGUGGGUACCAAAGAUGAGCUUGUGUUUCUCCCCAUGGCAGAUGUGUUAUUCUCUGUAGGACCAUCUGGCUAUAUCUUUUAUGUUUUGUUUGUAUCUCCCUUAGAUAAAUGAAACAUGAAAUGUUUUGUAGUUAUAACUAACAUUAUUUUUCAACCAGGAAUUGUUAUAAUUUAUAACACUGUAAAUAUUAUUGACAUAGCUCUAGAUUACAUCUGUGGAUUUCAUUUAGAUGUUAAAAGUGUGUGGCUUUGCUGUUCAUCCCAGCAGUUUAGGGAGGACACAUCUUGGAAAAGAGCACACGAGGGAGGUAUCACCUGAUGGACACAUACCUCAUAUAAACCUAGACCAAAUUACUAACAGAAAUAGAGAAAUAUGCCAAUUUCCAUAGCUGUCCUUUUUACAGAUGAAGGUUUUUACAGCCUCCAACUGUCUACAGUGAACAAACUGAAAAUGAACAAAUAGAAAGGUGUUCAACUGGCAGAUACUUCAGAUAUGGAAGCAUCAAAGAAAUGCUUUGCAGAAUAGAUUCUCCAUCUUGAGAAGGAGGCAGAGGACUACCUGGUAGUACCAUCUGUAAUUUAUCUGCCUUGGGAUGCCGGAAAGAACUACUAUAUAUGUAAUCUUCAAAGGGAGAGCCGAGACAAGGACAGAAAUUAAGGGACCUUUCCGUACGCAUAAGGGAAUUCUAUAAAAGCUAAUGGGUUGAAGAAAGCUGUGUGCCGGCCUGGGCUAACCAUUAGACCAUCCUCAAAAAAUUUAUGUUGCCAAAUCUAUUGCCACUAAAAUCUGAAAGCAAACAUUAGCAGCCAAGAACAUCAUGCUAAUUAAUUGCUGCAGGAGGACACAAUUUCGAAGAUCUAAUGGAAGAUGGAAUCCAGCUUCCAUAUGUCCCACUCGAUAGACCAAGAAAAUAUGCCCAUGUUUUUCACAGAAACCAUGAACAACGUCCAACUACAUGUCUCUCAGCUGAAUAGAACUAAUCACCAGAUGCAGAGAUGGAAAUGGCCGUUUGUCAGCACCCAGACUGAAAAACCUAGUCAGGAUCUCUUCUUGAGGAACCAUUUUGAUUCACCACUUUCACAGCAGAUUCAGAAUGUGGUAACUGAGUAUCAGGGCACAUCUCUCAGCUGCUGUGUUAGUGAACAGUACCCAAGACUGUGUGUGCAGCUACGCUGCAAAUCUACCUGCUCGCCUUGCUGAGAUGUGGGCUUGUGCUUGCUUGAACCUGAAGUUCCUGUCAGCGGGAUGCUCAUGCCAGGAUAUGAGUGUGUUGCUGCAAGGGAGCAGUAAGGGUUGGAGGGUGAGAUCUGCAUGUGCCUUGAAUGUGGAUAUCCUGUCUCAGUUGGCACUCAGUCUUGCUUUCCUGAGGCACGUGGACACUAUUGUAUGCAAUGGUUUAGCUUGCUUAACUAAGUAAUAUUUUUACUUAAUGUUCAUUGUCUGAUGGUUGUGUAUUGCCAAGCUGAUUCCCUGUGCAUGCAUGAGGAUGCCUUGCAGCACACAGAGAGUGCUGCUGGCUGUGUGUAGGGGUGCACACUGACUUGCUGCGUGCCAGAGCUGUGUGCUGCUGCCUGCAUGGCACAGCAAUGAUCCACUACUGCUGUGAGGUAUCUGGUGCAAUCCCAGGUCUAUCUGAGCAGUGCUGACUAACCCAGCUGCUGCUGUGAUAGCCCUGGCCCUGCAGUGCAAGUAUCUUUCUUGCAGUCAUGGUCUGAGCGCAGCUGGGACAUUGGGAAGUGUCAUGAUGGCAGGCCAGGCAGCCCCAUGGAAACAGAGAAACAGGGCUGUGGAGUAUGGUUUGGCAGACAUCAGUGCAUAACCCAGGUCUUCUGAGCAUCGCUUCAUCCACCUGAAUGCUGUUAGUAUUUGUUAAGUUUUUGAUUUCUGGAAACACCAGAAAUUCUCACCUUCCUCUGUCGUCUUUUAUAUAAGAUAUGUAUGAAACCUGUAAUCUGAAAAGAAUAUACUGACGCCAUGCUUAGUGGAAAUGGGCACAGUUGAAGUACAUCUAAAUUGCACAGCAAAGUUUUACCUUAAAUAUUGAAGAAAAAAUAUUUUAUUAUGUCUACUCUGAGGUUAAAGAGCAAGAGAAAUAGAAGGACAUGGUAAGUAAUUGUAACAUCAUUGUGCAUUUCCUCAAGAUCUUUCCAGCUAGUGGAGAGUAAUGACAUUUCUAAACUUCAAUAACUUCCACACAGAAAGGCACACCAUUUUGGUUGGCCUCAGUAAAGCAUUUAAAAUCAUAAGGGCUGCUAUUAUGCAUCCUAUGGAAUAAAAUUAGACUCAGGAUAGUCUUCUGCAAUUGGGCUUGAAUUUCACUCUAGGUUUUGCGUGACAUGAAGCUCCAAACGCACUCCUGGUUCUACUCUAAGAGAUGAGAUCAGCACUUAUAAGCAUGUUUUUUGAUGACACAACUCAGAAAAUUGAAGUGAUUAUUGUUAUGAAAGGACAAGAUGAUAAGUCUCAUGUAAUAUAUGAGCACCUAUCAGUCAGAUAAGCCAAGAAAGGUCAUAACCCAUUAUAUUGAUAUCAUAAAUGUUAUAAACUGACAUCAGGUUGGUGAACUGGCACUCUUGGACUUUUUAGAAGUGUUGCUGUGGUUAAGCUUCAAUCUGUCCUUGGAGGACAAGUUUAUUAUCAUUUUUUUUCUCCCAGAAUAAGGAACCUUAAUGAUUUUCAGUGUAAUGUAAGUAGUCUUUCUAACCUUCACAGAAAUAUUGCUGUGUUUUUAUUUAUUAUUACUUUUGAAGUAACUGGCUGAAGCAUCCAAGCAGCAGAAUCCAAGAUGCCAUUCACAGAUGAGGGAAAAGAAAUCAGCAAUGUGAUAACUUCUGACAAUUGAGAUGCUGCCCUUAUUAUUUUAUUUGAAUCUUAGCCCAUUACUUCAUAAGGCAUCUAUGAGGAAGGCAAGACUUAUGCCUUCUGAAGGUGUCUUGACAACAGUGACAUUACAGGCCCUGUUCUCCAGAUCCAGUUGCUGUCUGAGCUCCUAAAUUCUCAUCGCUGAUAGCUAUAAAUUUUCUCUGCAUCUGUUGAUUAGUCCACAUCCUUAGCCGUUGUUAUCUAGGCCUCUGAUUUCUGGAUCCUGAGGGAGUAUUGAGUCAGAGUAGUGUGCUCGGUGCAGCGGUUGCACUCCUAUAUUGGGGUGGGUGCAGCCCUGCCUAGGGCUGCAGCUGCUGCUGACCAGCUCAGGGCCAGGAGCAGACUGUUGCCACCUCACAUAAAUCUGUUCCCACCACAGGCUCCUGAAAGAGGGUCAGGGGUGACCUCUGAGCCCCUCUAAAACCAAAGCCUCAUGUCCAUGCUCGCUAACAUUACCAGUUCUGCAAGGGACUUGCAUCGUGCUGAAGUGUGGACACAUGAGAGGAGAACAACACAUCUAGUACGGCACAGCUUGGAGGAGUGGUAUUGUGUGCUCCAGAGAUGUGAGAGGAAUUGCAGGUGAGUUACUAUGCCUUGUGUGCAAACUGAACAUUGGGGUAAGUACUUCUGGAAGGUACCAUGCUAUAUUUACUGACCGCAUCAGACCAGAGCUGUGGUUUUAUGUCAGACUUAAAAUUCAGCAUUUCCAGCAGACUCAUGCUGAUGCACAGGUGUGAUAACACUGACGCAGGCAGCAGAAAGCCACCAUGAGUCACUGCCCAGCUUCCUCCUGAACCCGGUGCCUGUGGUCGGCAUUCUGCAGCAUUGCCUCUCUGGCCUGCAAACAUCAUGGCUUUAGUCGAGCUUGUACAAUCUGCAAAUCAACCCUGUUUGUACCGCACAGGUAAAUGUUAAAAGUGAAACGAAUAUGGGUGAACAUGAGCUGCAUAAAAUACUGCAAAUCAUCGCUUCAAGUGUGAGCAUAAUACCUGGAACCACAGGCAGGAAAAUACAUUUACAAACUAUCAAAUUAUCUUGGGAUAAUAAUGUAAUGCUUUUCAGUGCUGUACUGUGCGUUCUGAUAGCUGAGCAAAUAAUACUACAGCUGGCAAAGGACCAGAAUUUCAAAGAGCUUUCAUGAGCAGACUGCUUCCACAGGAGAGAGAAGGGUUUCUGUGUGUUUUUGGGGGAAUGUUAAAAACAAAUGUGGUUAUUUCAGUGACUUGGAACUGCAGAGAGUAACAUCUUAUGAUAAAUAAAUCCUUUAGACAGUUUGUCUACUUUAUAGCAUAACCUGUGAGGUGCUUUCUUCUUCAUAUGAGGUUACUUCUCUGUGAUUGCAACAAUAUUCUUUUGAUCAAACGUGCUUUCAGAACUGGCAUGAACAAAUCAAGGAGCUAAGCAACUAUAGCGGUUUGUACGCAGAAGUGCUGUUGGAAUAUAAAAUUUUUCAAACACAUUUUUCAAGAAAGCAGAGUCCCCUUUGAAAUUUUGGGCUAAAGAUAUAUGCUGGAAUGCUCUUUAUGACUCUGUAGAAGUGUAUGACACCCAAAGUGCUUUUAGGAUGCUCCAAGGUAUAUCAAAGAGCAUUAAAUUCAACACAGCUGGGAAUGUCCCCAGAUUGCCUCAUGAAUACAUAUUUCUUAUAUCCUGUAUGUUAGCUAUAGUUAACAUAGCCUUGGUCAUUGACGGUAAUCCACAGAGUAAGCCUAUUAGGUGAGAUUUAGCACCUACAAUUUUUCUGCUCACAUCUGCUUGCCUGACAUAUGUAAUCUGCCUGAAUGUCACAGUUUACAUCCUAUUUUCAUUGGAGGAUAAUGAAACUUGAUUGGUGUCUUCAUCUCCUCCUCUGGGUCUCUAAGAAAUAUUCCAUCUAGUCACCUCCUCCUUCCUGGCACUCUUUAGCAUGAUCCUUAGCCAGGUCCUUCAUUAAAGGCCAGUGCAUGUGAGGCCUGCAGGCAAACAAAAAAAUUCAUCAUUGUGCAGUAUUACUCCAAAGACAGUAAGAAAAUGAAGGUGGAGUCAGAAUUUCCCAAACUGGAUUUCUGUACUUAUUCUCUCACAAAGCUCUGACAUAUCACUAUUUUAUCAGCAGACAGCAGUAGCUUUCUGAAGACUGUUUCCUUUUAAUUCGUACCAAAUUUAACUGUAGCCACUUCAAUAAUUCUAGAACAGCUCAGUCCUAGAGGUAAAUUAAAAUUAGGGAAAAUUAGACCGUUUCUAAUGAGGUGGUUAUUACACAGAAUAAUGAUGAUUAUUGGUUCUGCUUAAUAAAACUGUCAGCUAGUGCAAAAUAUAUAUUAACUUAAAUUACAUUACAUUUUGAUCAACUCAGAAAUUCCAUGCAUUUCUUUCCCACAAACUGUGGGCAUAACGAAAUGUUAGGCAGCGCUUCCUUUCUCAAGUAGUCUGAAAAGUGAGGCUAUCAAACACGGCCCUUUAAAGCCCUGAUUUAAAGCCCAUUAAAUGCAAUGCAGCGAGGAUUCAUGCUGACCGGAGUGUCAUGUAGGCCAGGACUUCACUAAAGCAAGCAGUACUCUCUGCUUCUGCCUGUGCAUAGUAGUGUUGUGGCAAAUAUUUCACAGUAUUCUUGGCCUGCUAAAGGAAAGAUGUUUUAUCACGUUUCUAGCCCCCUUCCUCGCCAGUCUCAUGGCUGCUAGUUCCCCUGCUCUUCCCUUUUGAUUUACCUGGCAUAUUCUAAAGUGGACUUUGGGGUGAACUACACUUUUUUUUAUUCCUAGGAUGAAAGCAGUGGGAAAGCUAAAAAUGAGAUUUGUGUGUACAAAACGAGAUGUUGGAGCCCCAUAUGCUUGGAGGUGAGACAGCUCACUAGAAGCCUGUUGGCUUCUCAGAGACACAGCCAAAAAUCUAAAUGCUUGGCAUUGUUAUAUUUAAAAGCAAACAAUACUACCAGGUGCCAUUGGCAAGGCCUGCUGCACUGUGAGGUGCAUGCCAAUCCUUUGGGACAGUCACUGUGGGCUUUUGCACCCCAGACUGCCCAGCAGUGGUACCAAAUGAUGAGCUGAAAUGUAGGCGUAGCCUAGAGACCACUGCUAUCCCAUGCCUCCUCUGCACAUGGGAUGGAGUUUUGUAGAAUGUUCUGAUGCAAACGAAGCCAUGUUUGUCUCCAGAAAAGAUGUUUGCUGUAUUGAUAGUAGCAGUAUAUUUUAUAGAUUCUGAGAGAUUAAAAAAGCAGUAACAACUGCAUGACUGGAGAUGUACCUAUGCCAAUUGACUUUUGAACUGGGGCAUGGAGGUGAGUUAAUCUUCACUUGGUGUACAGUGGAACCCAAAAAAGAACAGAUUUACAGUAAAAUUUUACUUUCCUGGCAGUGCUUUUGAUUUUACAAACAGCACUGUGUUAACUCAAAUGAAGGUGAUAACAUGGCUAAUAAGUUGCAGCGUAUGCGGUUAUAAGGUUUUAUCAUGCUUUGAAACAUUUAGUCAUCAACAAGAUUCCUCCUUUUAUGAAGCCCAUUUUGUAGCAUUCCAUAAACAAGGUUCAACAGUCACAAUUUCAUUAGCAUUAUAUUGUUGCCAUAGUAAUGCAGUACCAAUUCAAUUGAUGGGCUUUUCAUCCUGGGCUUAUUAUAGGACUGCUCCUCUUGUCAAAGAUGCAUCUAUAUGGAUACAGCAAACAGAUCUUAUUGUCUGAAUAUUAGCACAAAUUGCAUCAUAUGCUAAUUUAGAUAGCAACAUAUCACACUUUUGGCAUCAGACCCAGAAAUCAUCAGACAUGAUAGAAGUCACUAAACACUAUACAUGUCAAAGUCUCAUCCCCAAACUGGGAAAAUUACACGCACUGUUUGCUGCAGUUUCUGAAUUUGUUAUCACAAAAGCAUUUGGCUCUGCUUCUACUGCUCCGCAAUGCUGCUGGGAUGGCAUAGCUUUGCAGGUGGUAAUAGCAAUGGAGAAAAAGCAGAAACAAGAGUUGAAGAAUAAAACAUGAUCUGAAGAGUAGUUGGCCCUUAUUCUGGUCACAUGUUCUGCAGCAUGCUUUGGGAGUCACUGCCAAACGCAAUGCCUUGGUUUCCCUGACUGUAAAAUGGGAAUAAUGACCCCUCUCCCUCUGUGCAGAGCACAUGGUGUAUACCCAGUGACAAGUGAUAUCCUGUACUGCUAAACACUGUUAUUAAGUGAAGGAGCAAUAUUUUUAACGGCUCCAGGAAAAUACACAGCACAGAUCUACAAUUUAAGUAAUGUCUCUAGAGAAUCUGGACUCACCCAGUGAAACACAAAGGUGUUGGCAGAGUGAGCGCAUGGUGGAACGUGUGCACUUAUGGAGGAGAGGAAAGAUAUUCACUUCAUUAAAAAUCAUGGCCAUUUGUAGGGAUGUUUUUUAAAUAUGUAAUGUUGUAGGCUACGGGGGAUGUUGCUGCAGCAAUCAGACCAAGAAGAGCAACAAUAAAAUUCAAGGCAGCAGGAUGACUUCUUAUUGUAUGUAGAAACAUUUGGUGCAUUUUCACUGUUUUGUUGAUGGUUGCUUCCUAUUUAGAAAGGAAAUACCUUUUUUUCUAUCCCAACACACAGUGUUUAGUCUAUCAUUUCUUAGCUUAAUCAUGUUGUGUCCUUCGCAGCAGCAAGGGUAAAUUAUAGGCAAGUAGCAUUCAGUAUAAUCAAAGAUGUGUUCCACUUUAUAUGAUAAGUUCUGUCUGAUUUACAAAGGCAGUAUCUUCUCCAGCUGAGCAAGGAAAGAGAGGCCUUUGCUUGCAGAUAAAAAUCGCCUCAGAGGAAAGGCUUCUCCCCCCAUUAGGAUCCUAUUGUUCAUAUAGAAAAAAACCAUUGUUACUUCUAUAAUCUAUCCAUUUACUCUUACAAAGAUAUACCCAGAGGACCCAGCUGAGACUGGGACCUAAUUGUGUCAGGCACAGCAAAACCAUAUAGAGAGCCACGGUCUCUGCUUCAGACAGUUUAUAAGCUGAAGAGCCAGAAGAACAGCAAGAGCAGAGAGUAACUGACUCAGAGAUGGAGGAGGUGGUGGUGGUGGCAGAAGCAGAGUGGAUCUCUUGCCUGGGUCCCUUCCAACCGGAUGCCUGCCUCACAGGGGGAAGGAAAUUCUUAGGAUUCAGUCUCUAUCUCACAUGUAGCCACGCUCUACCCCCUAAUUCCAACAGCUGCAUCUGUACUGCUGAGCAGGGGCAGCCUGAGGCAAGGCUUGCAGUCAGACUGUGCAGCCCACCCGUAUUACCUAUUAAACACCUUCAGGCUGGCUCCAGGGCAACCCUGUUAAUCCUCCCAGGGACAAAGGCUCAGGCGUACCCUAUGUUUUCAAGCAUGUUUAAGGGCACUGGGGUCAGGGUACCUGCCAGAGGAAUAUUAAUGAGCUCCAACAGCACAUCCGAGGCAAGAGGGCUCAGGCUUUCUUCUUGUGUGGUAGCUGCUUCCAAACCCAAGCCUGAACAGAUGGAGGGUGGGGAGAGAGGAGUUUUCAGUCACAAUAGGAAAAAGUCAGCUUGCAAAAGGAUGGGAAUGCUUUGAUCAGGAACAAAUAUGAUGUCUCAUACAAAGAGAGCAGGAGCCUGGAAUUACUCCAGUGCUCUCCCUCCCUCUUUCUUAAAAAUCCUUGUGGUAGAAUGGUUAAACUCUGGGAGAGAAGGCAUUAAUCUUCUAGUGAGUAAAUACUUCCUUUUGCUGUGUGGUGCCUGCUGACUUUACUGCUGUUGCAACCUUCUAAAAUGCUUCCAGAAAAUCUCAUUAGAUUUCAGCUUUAUUUAUUUUUUUAUUAAGGAGUCUGAAGAGAGUUUACCAUUUAACUUUUUAAUAGAAACUUCACAUAGUACGCUGGCAUGGAUUUGAUCUCAUAAGAAUUCUGAUCUCAUUUGUAGGAAUCCUGAUUUGUAGUAAAAUUCAGUAACUGUAGAUCUGUUGUUGCAUUAAUACAAAUCUGGCAGCUUUACACUAGCAAUUUUACAGUAAACCUAUAUUUUUAUAGUGGUUUUGCUUAGUGCAUUUGGUAUUGGUGAAGACAAAGAUUGAGCAUGCAGAAGUGACACCCCUUAUGAUGGGAUUGUCUGCAGUAAACUGAGAAGGACGUUUACUUACUUUAAAGUAUUUAUCUUAGAUGACUUAAAAAAUGCAUUUUAGUACUGAAUCAAAUACGAAAAUUAAUUUUCUAUCAUCAGUUCACUCCUGGCGACUCUUUAUGUAAAACUUGAUAUAAAAAAGGUAAGAAAAUAGUGAGAGGGAAGUAACAGACCUCUUGCCUGAGACAUCAAGGGAUAUUUACAGAUCAGAACUGGACGGUACCACUCCAUGAGCAUGGUGUACAUAUUGUCAUGUUCACAGUGCAGACAGCUAACAGAGUCCUGGAAAGCUGCACUUACUGGCAGAAAGCCGUAAAAUGCAGGUACUGACAGAGGCCUAGACUUCAUGUCUGGCACCUGCACUCCUUCCCCUUCCCUCAGUGGGGCCUUGGAGGCUCUGACAUUCUGGGAGCUGACCUCUUGGCCAUGGUGGGCUGGGACAGAGUGCAGCACCUUUGGAAUAGGAUGGAUAGUGGGGCAGAGCCAAGCUAAGGCCAGAGUCAUAGCAGGACUGAGCCAUGCUCUGUAGGGAUGGUCCUAGCUGAUGGAGGCUUCAACCUGUCUUGUUAUUACAGCCUUGUAAUGCUGUUCCCAGGACCAAAUUCUGUCACACCAAGCCACCCUGGCAAAGUCAGGGCUCUGCACAGCCUGCCUAGAGCUAGCAUAGCUCCAUCAGGCCCCCAGCAGUGCAUCUGUGCUGCUCACACCAGCUGCUCCUGAGCCUCUCUGCAGAACCCCAUGGGUCUGCUGCUCUGGACCCUUCACACAGGUGAGGGCCCCCAGGGCACAAAUCAACCAGGCACAUGGGCCACCUGCUGAUGGGCUUCAGCUGGGGCUGCUGGGCCCAGUCUUCACAGGCAGAGCCAAGAGUACAGAAAAGAAAUAGCUCUCUUCGUGCCACAGCUUGUUUUGUCAGUAUUCUCUUUGCUUUACGUUUUCAGCAUUUUUCCUUUCUGCACAAACUAACAGGAGGAAAUACUGUGUUCUGCUCUACUAAGUUAAUAUAAGCAAUAUGUUUUAAUUCUUGUUGGGAGCAUUGAAAUUCCAAGUGACAGUUAUUGAGAUUUGUUGCACCUCUGAAAGACUAUAAAAAAUUAUCUGAAUGAUUCCCUGCUUGUGCUGGCUUAGAUGUUCCUAGGGAGAGGCACACGCCCAAAGGACAGGGCACGCACAGAGGACAGGAGCUGUUGUUGGAUGCAUGACAGCAAAUCUGCUUUUGAUCUCUUCCUGUGAUUUUCUAGGUGAGCCCCAGACCUGCCCGUGGUCAGCACUCUCUGACUUCGGCCCCACCAUGUAGAUGGAGCAACGUCCUGUGUGCCCGGCUGCUGCAUGGAGCUGCCCAUGUGCUGGCACCCUGACCCAGCAGAGAUGCUGCCAGUGCCGGCUCCACCCUGCUCGCUGCUGCCUGCCCACCUGUCUCCUUCCCCCAAGCCAUGGCCCACACCACCACCACCACCGGCAUCUCCGUCGCUACCCACAGCACAAAUGCAACAUGGAACAGCGAGUGUGGCUUGAGCAGGCUGAGCUUGUUAAAAUUGCAGUUAAAUAAAUUGUAGGGCUGUAAUACUGGGAGGCUGAUUGGGAUCACAAGAUAUCGGUGUCAUAUCCUGUGGCUUUUAUGUAGUGAGAUGUAGAUUUUUGCCAUCACCAUCUGGCUAUCCAACAGAUAACAACCAGAGAAAAUGGACUUGCAAAUCUCCAGUUGUGAAUAACUGAUAUAUUGUUGCCAGUAAAACGAGGACCUGGUAAACUGCCAGAAGGAAAAGUUUUUUUGAGUAUGAUCAGACUUUUAAUAUGUGUCAGCUUUUGCCUAUGUGUAAAUUAAAGAAACUCCCUAAUUACCAUACAUUUUAAACAGUGUGUCUAGAGAACUCUGGUCCUGUAGAACCCAGAUGUGGCUAUGUUAUCAGCUUCAAAUUCAGGCAAGUAAAUAAAGUAGCAAAUGUACGACUCAACUGGUGUAUCUGCACAGUACAGAUCAUCUAGGUGUGGGUUAAAUGCUAUGAGGAAAGAACAAGAAAUAAGCAAAAAAUACAGUAGUGUAGAAUAUGCAUGUUCUUAACUUCUAGAAAAUCUCAACAGCUGGAAUUUUAGAAUGUGAUAUUUAGACAAAUGUAAAGAGAGAAACAGUGUGUUUUUCUCUGGAGAAAAAUGUAAUAGGUGUACAGAUCAAAUUAUAACACUUAGUCCUUCUAGGACAAAUUCCAGUUGGGGAUCGUGAAGUAAUCUGAAAAUAUUAAUGAUUUAGCCUCACAGCUAGAUUUCAGGUAGAUAAUAAUAAUUAUUGCUACAAAUAAUUUCCUUCAUUCUUGCUCUGAAAUGAAAAUUGAGGCAUAGAGGUUUUAUGUAUUUGUCCAAAGUCCAUUUUACUGCUGUAACCAUCCUUCUAUAGAUUUACUUCGUAUUAAGUAUGCCCUUUUCCAAAUAUUGUAUGUGAUAUACUAUUCAGUUCAUGAAUUCUAAAAAACAAGCAGCUGAUCUUCCUUAUGAAGCAGUGCCUGUGAACAUCUCCAUUUGCAUUUGAAUCCUCAAGCAGUGACAAUCCUGCUUAAAAAAAAAAAAGAAAAAGAAAAAGGGAAUGAUGAAAAUCAGAACAAAAUCUGUCAAGGGCCCAUCUGUGACUGCAUAUCAGAAUAUCACUAAGAUGCUCUGAGGAACAAAGUUGUCUCCAAGUCUAACACAUAGUGCUUUUGUCUACGGAAAUAAUUCAAGAUGGGUGAAAUGAGGGCAAAUAACAUGAAAAACUGUUUCCCUACUGAACAGUCCUGGAAAGCAGCACCUUUGUUUCAUGGAUAAUCUUGUUUGUGAUACACGUACCAGUGCUUAGAUACUAAAGGUUUUACAUGACGAAAUACUCAGCAUGCCCAUAUCUGCUUCAGAUAAGCAUGCAUAGCUGUUGCUUCCAGUCAAGAGUCAGGGAGCCAGGGGUCUUUGGCCCUGGCAGGUGAGAACUUGGGUUAGGUAUGUCUGUGGCAAGCUUUCAUAGCCUGCUACCUGAAGCACUGGGGAAACAAAAGGAUAGACUCCACCCUGGACUUAACAAUACUCUUGAAACCACAUCUAUUUCCUUCUAAAUAGGAACACAUAAAGUUAGGAAAACCUAUUUGUAAGCUAUUUAUAUGUCCUCUUCAGGAUCUGAAUUCCUGCAAGCCUUAGUCAUAGCUCUUUGCUCUCACAUAUGCAAUAUCUGGAACUGACAACUGGAAAUAGGAGAAACAUGGCAUUAAUGUUGUUCUAAUGCACUGUGGGUUUUUUUUCCUUCUAUUUCUUAACUGUUACAGUAUGCAAAUAUUUAGUUAACUGGUCCUCAUGGUUUCUUUUUAUUGAAUUGCUUUCACUAUGGCAAAUAAAUAUUCAUAAAGAAAUGUGGACAAUAAAUCAUUUCCAAUAGUUCAAACCAUUUUCUUUCUAGACUGCAUAUAUAUUCAGCUGUGACUUGCCUUUAAUAUUUAAUUCAAAAGACAGACUUGUAGAAGGACAAUAGAGAUAAUGUGUCAAGCAAUAAUUAAAACAGGGGGUAUGAUUAAAACCAUUUUGAUCUACACUGUGCUCUGUCAAACUCAUAAUCUGCCAUGUUUGCUUAGAUGAUUCUCCACUUGCUUUGUAUGGAACCCAAAAUAAACUUUUGUUUGAAGAUACUGCACAGAACAAAAGAUUUCAACCCUAAGCUUUUGGGACCUGGAGACCUUCCCUGCUCUGGGCUUUGGGUAUGUCUUCUCUAUCAUCCUCACAAGACAAAUCUCAGGCAGCCAUCAUCCCUCAAUUUAACAUGGUGACUUCCCUCGGAAGUAGGUCCAUAUACGUGGCACAAUACAACUAGGGGACAAUCCAAUGUAACCUGGUUCACCAUUUAGACUGAAGCUAAGAGCUCCAAAAGAAGUGCAAGUUAAAGAUACAGGGAGUUUAUACACUUGGGGACCCUGGUUCAAAUUCAAAUUCAAAUAAGAGUGAUAUUUCUUGUUUCACUGUGUGUUUUGGCCACCAAAAUACACCUUGUAUUUGUCCCAGCUUCAUUAUCUUUUCUGAUUUGUUGCUGAUUUUGGGCCAUAACUCAAUAGAGCACUUAUGUACAGACUUAAAGAAAUUGAUUUAAGAAAACACUACUCUGUUUAAUCCUGGGCAGACAUUCAACUUUGAAAUCAAUGGGACUUAUGAACAGCCCUGACCUUGGGGUCUAAAUGGUUGCUGAAUCAGUGCAUUGACAGAAACAUACUGGAAAAGAUAAUAUCCAUGUCUAAUCAGAAUGAUCGUCUCUACUUUCAUGGGAAAUUACCCAUAGAUAACACAUUAUUCUGCUCAAGAAAUCCAUUUUAUAGCAGUUAUUAGAAAACCUUAACACAUUUUCUGUUUGUCAGACAUACUAGGUGAACAGUGUCUCUCCUUGAUAGUGUAUCUGAACUAUACUUCAAAUGAAAAAAUAAAUUACAGGAAAAGUGCUGUCACAAGGGACCAUUUCUAAUUAUUUACUGAGUCUUUCCCAGUUGCCUGCUAUGUGCCAGACUUUUGGGAAACAUGUGGACAGAAGACAAAGCAGUGCGGUUCUGAAAUCCCACGGACUCAGUCAAAGACAAUAGCACAUGAAAUACCAUGUUAUGCAAUAUCACGUAAACAAAGCUAUCUCCUAAGAACUGCACUCACAAGGGAUGCCUGCCCAGUCUACAUAUAGAAUUCUAAGUGAACACAUUCUUAUUACACUGAGAAAAUGGUAAGAAUAAAAGGUGUUUGUUUCUGGUAUAAUAACGUACAGAUUGCACUACUUAAGUGCAACUGUGGCUGAAUCCACAUAGUUAAAAGAAGUAAGUAAAGUAGUUGAUGUUAUACUGCAUGAAAUAAAAAUCUUCUUGCCAUUCCUAAAAAUGUUUUACACAAGUCAUUUUUAUUAUAAUUAGAAGUUGGCAAACAGGAUAUCUUAGAUGCUGCUUAUAGAGCUGAAACGGGUUUAAGAGGGGAAAUAAAUUAUAAUGGGUUCUAUUACCUCAUCUAAUUCAGUAAAUGAUGAGCAUGAAGACCCUGAGAAGACAUGGAAAGCAUUAGUGAGUUUUACCUCUCUCUGCAACCCUGGACAGACACCAUGAUUCACAUGAUUCCACUGUUUCUAGGACAAAGCUUAGGAGUAAUACAUAAAAAAAACAGCUGUACUAUUUUAACUGGAUUCAUACUAGUGGAGACUCACAUGGCUACCCGUACCUAUCCUGAUGCUGCCUACUCUAGAGCUGAUGAGUCAGGAGUAUGCAGCUGCUGUAUUGCAUGCUCAUUGCUAACAAGCUCUCUAUACUGCCUGUAAGCCUCUGAGUCAACAUUCCAUUAAUCAAAGGGUAGAAUGUAAUGGGAAAGAACAGGAGGGUGGGAUUUGUCUUCCUAUAUAAUUCUUAAGUUACCAAAAAAAAAAAAAAAAAAAAAAAAAAAUUAAAAAAAAAAUCAAAGCUUCUGCCCCUUUUUUCUCAUGUCAUCUACUUUACCCUCAGAGUAGGUGAGGUUAGAGCAAAUCUGCAUUCUAAACCAGGUGCUGCUUCUGAUUGUCUUCCCACAUAUAGUCAUGAAUUGGAGCUAACACCUGUUCUCAAUGAAAUCAGUAAGUACCUAGCAGGACCAACAAGCUUAUAGAGCUCAAGGUGAGGAACAGCUCUUUGUUUGCUUGAGGGCUUUUUCCACCAUGAAGGCUAUCUAGAAGGAGUAAUACAGGUAUAACAUGAUGUUAGGCCCUUCUUCAUUAGUUCUUCGGUUUCUGCUGGAAUCUCGCUGACUUGGAGCAAGCAUUGAUUUAGAGGUAAGUUUUACAACUGAGUUAGGAUCUGGGGUUUCAGAUUUUCAACUUUUGUGAUAUCUUUGAUGAUAACAUUGUAGUCAUGUUUCUGUAUGACUGCAUAUAGAUAAAUAGAAAUGCUUCAUGGUUACACUUAAGACUAAUACACUAGAAACAUUUGACUCUUGAUUUUGGUUCUGUGGAAGCAGUAAGAGAUGGAGGUGCAGACUUAAAAGGAACAAAAAUAUUACUGGAAGAAAUGAAGCCAGACCAGGUCCAACGGUAUGAGAAGCACAUUAGGAGACUGAAAAGGAUGAAGUGCAUAUGGAGGAAAGACUCUUGGACCAGUGCAAACCAAGGACAUCAACUUAGCAGUUCUCAAGCUUAGUAAUACUGGAUUUGUCUACAGAUGUCAUCGCUAGAGACUGGAGGAAGAGACAGAUUUCUGUCCCCUAAAAUAUCCUAAAGAAACAUUUGGUGGCAUUUAAAUAGGAAAACAUUAUUUGAUGCCAGAAACAAGCUUUAUUUUUUUUAAUAUUUCUUUGAAUUGCUUGAUAGUGAUUAUCAAAGAUGUUUGUGCUGUGAAAAUAUGUGGGUUCCUUUUGCUUGUUUUUUUAUUUCCCAAGAUAAUCAUGUUGAAACUUGUAGUCCUUGCUACAUCUAAAAAAAAAUAUAAAGCAGUUCAGGGAAACAAGCUUUUGUUUACAGUGGCACAGAUGGCUGGAAUAAAUUAGUGGACUUGCUAAAGAACAGUUCAUUUUAGUUUUAAAUGCAUUUGGACACUUAUGAAAGCUCACAUGGUGGCCAUUUUGUUAUUUAUUCAUCUAUUUGGGCUUUACAAUUCCAUGCCUAAAGGCUAUGCCUGAGUUAUGGACAGGGGUUCUCCCUAGCAGAAUUCAUAAUUAUGUACAUCUCACACUUAAAGUGUCUGUACUCCUGUACUGUGAUGCACCCUGUGUUACUCUGUGCACUACUCCUUCCGAAAAACACUGCUCAAUUGUAACAGGACAGAUUAGAAAGGCAAGGACAUUGGUGUGAAUGUUUUACUUUGAACAUUUUUUGUCAACAUGUGAGUUGACAAGCCAGACUGAAAAGAAGAAAACUGAGAGGUGCAAAUCUGUGCACUCUUAUAGAUGCUCAAAGAGUGCAUAGGAGAACAACCUGGGUCCAGUUCUGCCUUUCUUGAACCCUGUGAAUUUGAGAUGACCCCCUACAG